rnacentral:rRNA from 1 species
AUUGAACGCUGGCGGAAUGCUUUACACAUGCAAGUCGAACGGCAGCACGGACUUCGGUCUGGUGGCGAGUGGCGAACGGGUGAGUAAUGUAUCGGAACGUGCCCAGUCGUGGGGGAUAACGUAGUGAAAAUUACGCUAAUACCGCAUACGAUCUAUGAAUGAAAGCGGGGGAUCGCAAGACCUCGCGCGAUUGGAGCGUCCGAUAUCAGAUUAGGUAGUUGGUGGGGUAAAGGACCACCAAGCCAACGACCUGUAGCUGGUCUGAGAGGACGACCAGCCACACUGGAACUGAGACACGGUCCAGACUCCUACGGGAGGCAGCAGUGGGGAAUUUUGGACAAUGGGCGAAAGCCUGAUCCAGCCAUUCCGCGUGCAGGAUGAAGGCCCUCGGGUUGUAAACUGCUUUUGUACAGAACGAAAAGGUUUCUACUAAUACUAGGAGCUCAUGACGGUACUGUAAGAAUAAGCACCGGCUAACUACGUGCCAGCCGCCGCCGUAA